GACGAACGCUGGCGGCGUGCCUAAUACAUGCAAGUCGAACGCACUCUCGUUUAGAUUGAAGGAGCUUGCUCCUGAUUGAUAAACAUUUGAGUGAGUGGCGGACGGGUGAGUAACACGUGGGUAACCUGCCCUAAAGUGGGGGAUAACAUUUGGAAACAGAUGCUAAUACCGCAUAAAACCUAAACACCGCAUGGUGUAGGGUUGAAAGAUGGUUUCGGCUAUCACUUUAGGAUGGACCCGCGGUGCAUUAGUUAGUUGGUGAGGUAAAGGCUCACCAAGACCGUGAUGCAUAGCCGACCUGAGAGGGUAAUCGGCCACACUGGGACUGAGACACGGCCCAGACUCCUACGGGAGGCAGCAGUAGGGAAUCUUCCACAAUGGACGAAAGUCUGAUGGAGCAACGCCGCGUGAGUGAGAAGGUUUUCGGAUCGUAAAACUCUGUUGUUGGAGAAGAAUGUAUCUGAUAGUAACUGAUCAGGUAGUGACGGUAUCCAACCAGAAAGCCAACGG
rnacentral:rRNA from 1 species